UACGAAGGGGGCUAGCGUUGCUCGGAAUCACUGGGCGUAAAGGGUGCGUAGGCGGGUUUUUAAGUCAGGGGUGAAAUCCUGGAGCUCAACUCCAGAACUGCCUUUGAUACUGAAGAUCUUGAGUCCGGGAGAGGUGAGUGGAACUGCGAGUGUAGAGGUGAAAUUCGUAGAUAUUCGCAAGAACACCAGUGGCGAAGGCGGCUCACUGGACUGGUAUUGACGCUGAGGUGCGAAAGCGUGGGGAGCAAACAGG
rnacentral:rRNA from 1 species